rnacentral:rRNA from 1 species
GACGAACGCUGGCGGCGUGCCUAAUACAUGCAAGUAGAACGCACAGUUUAUACCGUAGCUUGCUACACCAUAGACUGUGAGUUGCGAACGGGUGAGUAACGCGUAGGUAACCUGCCUGGUAGCGGGGGAUAACUAUUGGAAACGAUAGCUAAUACCGCAUAAUAUUGAUUAUUGCAUGAUAAUUGAUUGAAAUAUGCUAUUGCAUCACUACAAGCUGGACCUGCGUUGUAUUAGCUAGUAGGUGAGGUAACGGCUCACCUAGGCGAAGAUACAUAGCCGAACUGGGAGGGUGAUCGGCCACACUGGGACUGAGACACGGCCCAGACUUCCACGGGAGGCAGCCGUAGGGAAUCUUUGGCAAUGGGGGAAAGUCUGAACGAGCAACGCCGCGUGAGGGAAGAAGGUUUUCGGAUCGUAAAGCUCUGUUGUAAGGGAAGAAAGGGUGUGAGAGUGGAAAGUUCACACUGUGACGGUAUCUUACCAGAAAGGGACGGCUAACUACGUG